rnacentral:rRNA from 1 species
UACGUAGGGCGCAAGCGUUGUCCGGAAUCAUUGGGCGUAAAGCGCGCGUAGGCGGUUACUUAUGUCGGAUGUGAAAGCCCUCGGCUUAACUGAGGAAGUGCAUUCGAAACUGGGUAGCUAGAGUACUAAAGAGGGUCGCGGAAUUCCCGGUGUAGAGGUGAAAUUCGUAGAUAUUGGGAAGAACACCGGUGGCGAAGGCGGCUCUCUGGACCGAGACUGACGCUGAGGCGCGAAAGCGUGGGGAGCAAACAGG